UACAGAGGGGGCAAGCGUUGUUCGGAAUUACUGGGCGUAAAGGGCGCGUAGGCGGCCCGCUAAGUCGAACGUGAAAUCCCCGAGCUCAACUCGGGAACUGCGUCCGAUACUGGCGGGCUUGAAUCCGGGAGAGGGAUGCGGAAUUCCAGGUGUAGCGGUGAAAUGCGUAGAUAUCUGGAAGAACACCGGUGGCGAAGGCGGCAUCCUGGACCGGCAUUGACGCUGAGGCGCGAAAGCUAGGGGAGCAAACGGG
rnacentral:rRNA from 1 species